rnacentral:rRNA from 1 species
UACAGAGGGGGCAAGCGUUGUUCGGAAUUACUGGGCGUAAAGGGCGCGUAGGCGGCCUUCUAAGUCGAACGUGAAAUCCCCGGGCUCAACCCGGGAACUGCGUCCGAUACUGGAAGGCUUGAAUUCGGGAGAGGGAUGUGGAAUUCCAGGUGUAGCGGUGAAAUGCGCAGAUAUCAGGAGGAACACCGGUGGCGAAGGCGGGUCUCUGGGCCGAUACUGACGCUGAGGAGCGAAAGCGUGGGGAGCGAACAGG